rnacentral:rRNA from 1 species
UACGAAGGGGGCUAGCGUUGUUCGGAAUUACUGGGCGUAAAGCGUGCGCAGGCGGCUUCUCAAGUCAGGGGUGAAAGCCCAGAGCUCAACUCUGGAAUUGCCUUUGAGACUGAGUGGCUUGAGUACGAGAGAGGUGAGUGGAAUUCCCAGUGUAGAGGUGAGAUUCGUAGAUAUUGGGAAGAACACCGGUGGCGAAGGCGGCUCACUGGCUCGUAACUGACGCUCAUGCACGACAGCGUGGGGAUCAAACAGG